rnacentral:rRNA from 1 species
UGUAGCAAUACAAGGCAGACGGCUCAGUAACGCGUAGUCAACCUACCCUAUGGACGGGAAUAACCUCGGGAAACUGAGUAUAAUGCCCGAUAGAACACUAUACCUGGAAUGGUUUGUGUUCCAAAUGAUUUAUCGCCAUAGGAUGGGACUGCGGCCUAUCAGUUUGUUGGUGAGGUAAUGGCCCACCAAGACUAUUACAGGUACGGGCUCUGAGAGGAGUGGCCCGGAGAUGGGUACUGAGACACGGACCCAGGCCCUAUGGGGCGCAGCAGGCGAGAAAACUUUGCAAUGUGCGAAAGCACGACAAGGUUAAUCCGAGUGGUUUCUGCUAAAGGAACCUUUUGUCAGUCCUAGAAACACUAACGAAUAAGGGGUGGGCAAGUUCUGGUGUCAGCCGCCGCGGUAAAACCAGCACCUCAAGUGGUCAGGAUGAUUAUUGGGCCUAAAGCAUCCGUAGCCGGCUCUGUAAGUUUUCGGUUAAAUCUGUACGCUUAACGUACAGGCUGCCGGGAAUACUGCAGAGCUAGGGAGUGGGAGAGGUAGACGGUACUCGGUAGGAAGGGGUAAAAUCCUUUGAUCUAUUGAUGACCACCUGUGGCGAAGGCGGUCUACCAGAACACGUCCGACGGUGAGGGAUGAAAGCUGGGGGAGCAAACCGGAUUAGAUACCCGGGUAGUCCCAGCUGUAAACUAUGCAAACUCAGUGAUGCAUUGGCUUGUGGCCAAUGCAGUGCUGCAGGGAAGCCGUUAAGUUUGCCGCCUGGGAAGUACGUACGCAAGUAUGAAACUUAAAGGAAUUGGCGGGGGAGCACCACAAGGGGUGAAGCCUGCGGUUCAAUUGGA